GUCCUCUCAGGAUGGCAGCUGGAGAGUGUCCAGUACUCUACCAGUCUCGACUACGGGAAGGAGAGUCAAGCAGGGGCAUACCUGUUCCAUUCCUAACUUGGGCAGUGGCUAGCGAGUGGAGGGCCAUCUGCUACAAGU